GGAUGCGAUCAUACCAGCACUAACGCACCGGAUCCCAUCAGAACUCCGAUGUUAAGCGGGCUUGGGCGAGAGUAGUACAAGGAUGGGUGACCCCCUGGGAAGUCCUCGUGUUGCAUCCC
rnacentral:rRNA from 1 species